AGUAAAAGUCGUAACAAGGUCUCCGUAGGUGAACCUGCGGAGGGAUCAUUACAAGUGACCCCGGUCUAACCACCGGGAUGUUCAUAACCCUUUGUUGUCCGACUCUGUUGCCUCCGGGGCGACCCUGCCUUCGGGCGGGGGCUCCGGGUGGACACUUCAAACUCUUGCGUAACUUUGCAGUCUGAGUAAACUUAAUUAAUAAAUUAAAACUUUUAACAACGGAUCUCUUGGUUCUGGCAUCGAUGAAGAACGCAGCGAAAUGCGAUAAGUAAUGUGAAUUGCAGAAUUCAGUGAAUCAUCGAAUCUUUGAACGCACAUUGCGCCCCCUGGUAUUCCGGGGGGCAUGCCUGUUCGAGCGUCAUUUCACCACUCAAGCCUCGCUUGGUAUUGGGCAUCGCGGUCCGCCGCGUGCCUCAAAUCGACCGGCUGGGUCUUCUGUCCCCUAAGCGUUGUGGAAACUAUUCGCUAAAGGGUGUUCGGGAGGCUACGCCGUAAAACAACCCCAUUUCUAAGGUUGACCUCGGAUCAGGUAGGGAUACCCGCUGAACUUAAGCAUAUCAAUAAGCGGAGGAAAAGAAACCAACAGGGAUUGCCCAGUAACG
rnacentral:rRNA from 1 species